rnacentral:rRNA from 1 species
UGAUGGCCAAACCUUGCGCGUGUGAUACCCGUCGGGGGUUGCGCGCGGGGUGUUGCGGGAUCGCGUGCGCCGGCUCCGACGGGCCGGCCGGCAGUUGCAGAAAACCAUGUGUCAGGGGAACCGGGUUGAAUACCGGGCCGCAGAGGGUGAGGGCCCCGUACCUGAACGCGCAUGGUCUGCCGAUCGCGUCUCCCAAGUAGCACGGGUCCCGUGGAACCCCGUGCGAAUCCGCCCAGACCGUUGGGUAAGCCUGAAUAUUCCUGUCUGACCGAUAGCGAACGAGUACCGUGAGGGAAAGGUGAAAAGUACCCCGGGAGGGGAGUGAAACAGUCUCUGAAACCGUGCGCCUACAAUCCGUCGGAGCCCUUUUGUGGGGUGACGGCGUGCCUAUCGAAAAAUGAGUCUGCGAGUCAGUGGCAUGUGGCGAGCAUAACCCGUGUGGGGUAUGCGUAGCGAAGGCGAGUCUUAAAAGGCGUUUGAGUCGCGUGUCCUGGACCCGAAGCGGGAUGAUCUAGCCCUGAGCAGGUUGAAGCGCGGGUAAGACCGCGUGGAGGACCGAACCCACCUGGGUUGAAAACCGGGGGGAUGACUUGGGGCUAGGGGUGAAAGGCCAAUCAAAUUCCGUGAUAGCUGGUUCUCUCCGAAAUGCAUUUGGGUGCAGCGUCGGGUCAUUACGUCCCGGGGGUAGAGCUACUGGAUGCUUGCGGGCCCGUAUCGGGUACCAACAGCAACCAAACUCCGAAUACCGGUGACGCGUAUCCCGGCAGUGAGUCGGCGGGGGAUAAGCUUCGUCGUCGAAAGGGAAACAGCCCAGACCGUCGUCUAAGGUCCCGAAGCGUGUGCUAAGUGGGAAAGGAUGUGGAGUCGCAUAGACAGCCAGGAGGUUGGCUCAGAAGCAGCCACCCUUGAAAGAGUGCGUAACAGCUCACUGGUCUAGUGGUUCCGCGCCGACAAUGUAGCGGGGCUCAAGCACACCACCGAAGACGCGGCAGUAUUUUGUACUGGGUAGGAGAGCGUCCCAUGAGGGGCGAAGCGGCCGUGUGAACGCGCCGUGGACUUCAUGGGAGUGAGAAUGCAGACAUGAGUAGCGAGAGACGGGUGAAGAUCCCGUCCGCUGGAUGACCAAGGGUUCCAGGGCCACGUUCAUCGUCCCUGGGUGAGUCGGGUCCUAAGGCGAGGCCGACAGGCGUAGUCGAAUGGAUGAACGGGUCGAUAUUCCCGUACCGGCUUUCAGCCGCCAAAACCGAGGCUUGGAGUACUAACCUCCGGGUCCGGGCUUACUGCUCCUUCGGGGGCGGGAUGCCCUGGCCUGUUGGGACCGAUCCUUGUAGUAGGUCAGCGCAGGAGUGACGCAGAAGGGUAGCCGGCCGCGGAGGUGGUCUUCCGUGGUCAAGCACGCAGGGCGUGGGACAGGCAAAUCCGUCCCGCAUGGGUCCGAGGUGCGAUGAUGGGGGCCUUAUGGCCCGAUAUCCGGUGAUCCCGGCUGCCGAGAAAAGCUUCGGCGUCAGGCUCGAAGCCGCCCGUACCCCAAACCGACACUGGUGGUCAGGUAGAGAAUACCAAAGCGAUCGAGCGAAUCCUGGUCAAGGAACUCGGCAAAUCACUCCCGUUCCUUCGGUUUAAGGGAGACCCCCGAUGGUGAACACACUUGCUGUGGGAGCUUUUGGGGGUGGCACAGACCAGGGGGUAGCGACUGUUUACCAAAAACACAGGUGCAUGCGAAGGCGCAAGCCGCUGUAUAUGCACUGACGCCUGCCCGGUGCCGGAAGGUUAAGAGGAUCCGUCAGCCUUCGGGUGAAGCGGUGAAUUCAAGCCCCGGUAAACGGCGGUGGUAACUAUAACCAUCCUAAGGUAGCGAAAUUCCUUGUCGGGUAAGUUCCGACCUGCACGAAUGGCGUAACGACUUCCCCACUGUCUCGACCAGGAGCUCGGCGAAAUUGCAGUACGAGUAAAGAUGCUCGUUAAGCGCAGAAGGACGAAAAGACCCCGGGACCUUUACUAUACCUUGGUAUUGGCAUUCGGUGUGGAUUGUGUAGCAUAGGCGGGAGGCCGAGAGGCGCGGUCGCCAGAUCGCGCGGAGCCGUAAGGUGAAAUACCGCUCUGUUCGCAUUGGAUGUCUAACCUCGAACAGUCAUCCUGUUCAGGGACAGUGCCUGGCGGGUAGUUUAACUGGGGCGGUUGCCUCCCAAAGAGUAACGGAGGCGCCCAAAGGUCCGCUCAGCCCGGUUGGCAAUCGGGUGGCGAGUGCAAGUGCACAAGCGGGCUUGACUGCGAGGACGACGGUCCGAGCAGGGACGAAAGUCGGGACUAGUGAUCCGGUGCCGGUGUACGGACGCGGCAUCGCUCAACGGAUAAAAGGUACCCCGGGGAUAACAGGCUGAUCAUUCCCAAGAGUCCAUAUCGACGGGAUGGUUUGGCACCUCGAUGUCGGCUCGUCGCAUCCUGGGGCUGAG